UUAAAUUGAAGAGUUUGAUCAUGGCUCAGAUUGAACGCUGGCGGCAGGCCUAACACAUGCAAGUCGAACGGUAACAGGAAGCAGCUUGCUGCUUAGCUGACGGGUGGCGGGCGG
rnacentral:rRNA from 1 species